UAUGGAAUAGAAAGAAAAAUCUAAAAAAGCAGUAAGUUGUAUUGCUGUAAAUGAACUGAGCAAUAAACAGUAAAACCUUUGAAUCGAAUAUAGACCCUGGCGACCCCAUUUGCAUAAGUACUUAUUGCAUAAAACUGUUUUUGUGAAAAUAGCAAGUGCAAAUGUAAAAAACAAUAGUGAGAAAUAUUGUAUUAAAUAGGUGGAUAGAAAAAGACACGGAUUUCCUGAUUUUUCAAGAGGCCCAACAUAUUUAAUACUUGGGUUCAGAUUUUUUUGCCUUGAAACCAUGAAGAUCUCAGUAAUAAACAAUUCUAUGUGAAAUUCUACGUAUGUGACAAUUAUUUUACUUCUGAUUCAUGCAUGUCCAAUUUGAGGAGGGGCCUUAAACCAGAUGUUAUACCUUCGGUUAACCUCUCAGGCUUAAUUAAUAUAAGUUAAAUUAGCCUAAACUGCGCCUAGGUCUUACAAUACGGCAAAGUGGGACAUUGGAGGCCAAAAUAAAUUACCCAAUGAAGCUCAAAACGUAGCAGAAUUUAUCGUGCCUCUGUAUAGACUUUUUGACAGCCUCAAUGUGUAAACUUACUGUAAAGCACAGACCAGACCUGAGAGAAGAGCAAUUUCACCAGUUUACAUGAGCAAUUUUUCAUUGUAUACAAAUCUAGAGAACUAUGAAGUUUUUAAAAACAAAGGAAAAAUGAAAGGAAAAACUUAUGUAAAUCUUACUUUUAACAUAUUUACUUAUUGCUUCUUUCACUUCUAAUUAGUUUUAUAUAAUUUAUAAUAUUUACAAAGGAACAAUACUAGUGAAUUGACUGAUGGAUAAUUCCUUGGUGAUUUUAUUCAAUUUUUAUUGGCUUUAUACAUUUACUAUAACUUCUUACAAUA